rnacentral:rRNA from 1 species
CCCUUAGAUGUUCUGGGCUGCACGCGCGCUACACUGAAGCUAUCAACACGUUUUCCCUCCCUGAGAAGGGCGGGUAACCUUUUGAAUCAGCUUCGUGGUAGGGAUCGGGGCUUGCAAUUGUUCCCCGUGAACCAGGAAUUCCUAGUAGACGCGAGUCAUAAGCUCGCAUCGAUUAAGUCCCUGCCCUUUGUACACACCGCCCGUCGCACCUACCGAUUGGAUGGUCCGGUGAAGCCUCGGGAUUGUGGCGGUUGCCUUUAUUGGUGGCCGCCGCGAGAACUUGUCUAAACCUUAUCAUCUAGAGGAAGGUGAAGUCGUAACA